CUAUCAACAUGAAUCUAGAAAUUGACAUCGCAGACGAUGACGAUUUGGAAGUGUUGGAUUUAGUAAAGUAUGGUGUGCCAAGACAAAUUUACCUGAGACAAAAUUACUUUGAUGAAUUGAACGCGGUAACAUUUCGUAAAGAAUUUCAAUUGACAAAAGAGUGUGUUUUACAAUUGCUGCCCAUGAUCGAAGAACAACUGGAGUACCCUACAGAUGCCAAUAAUUGUGUUUCUCCAAUGAACCAGUUACUAGCCUGUUUACGCUUGUAUGCAACUGGUGGACAUCUUGAUCAAAUUGCAGACUACAUGGGAAUGCAUUUGUCAACAGUAUCUCGAAUUGUUGUAAGGGUAUCGGAAGCUAUAGCUUCCUUGCGGAAUAUGUAUAUAAAAUUGCCCGAAGCUGAAAAUAAUUUGAGAAAAAUACAACAGGACUUCUAUGACGUAGCACAAUUUCCAACAGUUAUUGGGGCAAUUGACUGCACGCAUAUCAAAAUACAAUCGCCAGGUAGUCACUUCUUGUGUAAUAACUUAAUUUUUUUUUCCAAGGGGUAAUGAAGGUGAAAUAUACCGCAAUCGGAAAUCGUACUUUUGUUCAAAUGGUUUGCAACUCAAAACUGGAGAUUUUAAAUGUAGUUGCUCGAUGGCCUGGCUCAGUUCAUGAUGCAACAAUUUUUAAUAACUGUGCCCUCAAACACAAUUUGGAGAAUACCCCUUCUUUUAGGAAUUGUUUUCUAUUAGGAGAUAGUGGCUACCCAAAAAAAAAUAUUAUUUGCUCACGCCCUUAUUACGACCAAGAGGACACCGAGAAGAAUACAAUAUGAGACACAUCAGAACAAGAAAUGUUAUUGAAAGAUCUUUUGGGGUAUUGAAAAGCCGGUUUCCAAUUCUUGCAUAUGGAUGUCGCCUAAAAAUAGAAACAGUUCGAACUGUUAUAGUUGCAGCAAACAUCCUACACAACAUAGCCAUUAAAAUGGGCGAUGAAGAACCGCCACCAAUUCCAGAUGAAUUGGACGAACACAUAUUAAAUGGUCUUAUUGAAAAUGGGCAAAUACCUGAUGCCUACCCAAUUAAUAACAAUGUUGCUGGUGCAGG